UAAGAUAGCCGUGAUCAAUUGCCAAAGUUUGAAAGUCCCUGUUGGCAUUUUGAUGCAGCAAGGUUGUUUCUGUGUCUCGUGUGUAUUUCCACAAAGCGUCGGUUUUCUGGUUGAUGAUCAGCAGUUUACCGAUAGUUUCUAGCUUGUGGUAGUUAGUGCUUGUGUUGUGGUGAGCAGAUUGCCAUCGUUUCUGUGUACUUUUAUCAAGAUUUUUACUGUUGGUAUGAUACUUGUGGCGGCAUCUGUGAUUCGGAGGUGAAACUGAAAGGAGGGAAGUUAGGUGACAUCUUUGGUCGAAUUUCAAUAACAAAAUCCUUCUCAAGCCAGACAAAUAUCCAGUUUUCAAAUCAUGGAAAACAAUAAUCAGCGGAUAUCUAAGCUAUCUUUGGAAGCAACUGAAAUUAGUUGAUGACAAGGAACCAACAAGUAAAAGAAAUUGAAUGUCCAGGAAAAUAUGUGCUGUCAUCCGGUUUCUACUUAGAAUUCUUGAUAUCCGAAGAAGAAGGCAUAAUUUUGAACUUUUUAAGAAAGGAGAUGAUGUGAAUUUGAACAUUCCUACCUGUGGAGUGGCAGAAACUGAAAAUAUAUCAGGGCGCAAAAGAAAUGUGUACCUGUAGGAAAAUGUUUGGAUCCUUAAAUUGAAUGUUAGUUUUUCAUACGCUGCUAUUGAAGGAAUUCACAUCGGCUACACUGUUGCUGGUUGCUGUGGCUCCUUUUCUUCGGAACAUGGCACGUUUGAAAUGGUUUCAAGAGAAUCUAUUCAGCUGAAAACUGAAAAAAUCAAGCUGGAAAGUGGUUCAAUGGUUGUGAAUACUGAAUGUUUUGAGGAAUGGUCUAGAGAAGGUCAGGAAUCACACGUUGAAAGGUAAGACCUCGUCUUAGCUCGCGUAAGU
rnacentral:lncRNA from 1 species